AGGGGCGUGGCGCAAUUGGUAGCGCACCGGUCUCCAAAACCGGGGGUUGCAGGUUCGAGUCCUGUCGCCCCUG
rnacentral:tRNA from 2 species